rnacentral:rRNA from 1 species
UACGUAGGUGUCAAGCGUUGUCCGGAUUUAUUGGGCGUAAAGCGCCCGCAGGCGGCUUGCCAAGUUCGAUGUGAAAUCUCCCGGCUCAACUGGGAGGGUGCAUCGAAAACUGGCAGGCUUGAGGCAGGGAGAGGGAUGUGGAAUUCCAGGUGUAGUGGUGAAAUGCGUAGAUAUCUGGAGGAACACCAGUGGCGAAAGCGACUUCCUGGACCAAUACUGACGCUCAUGUGCGAAAGCGUGGGGAGCAAACAGG